rnacentral:lncRNA from 1 species
ACAGCUGUUUAAAAAGCCGGAUGACGUCGAAGGGUUAUGGCUCCCUAAGAGCGAGGUUUGUGUUCAGGGCGCUACUGCCUUGGUGUCGUUGGCAUGGUAAAUAUCAGUGUUUGUCAAAACUUUAAAAAGCAAUCCAGCAUAUCAAAGCGUUCAACUUCCUCUUGUAAGAGCACGCACCAAACGGAGGACAAAUUAAGAUGGUGGCAAAGCGACUGGGGAGAGGAGAGGCAAUGAAAUUUGCUUGUUAUCUUUAAAAAAAAUAAAAAAAAGGAGAAAGAAAUAGGCAGCAGUGAGGAAAACAAAACAAGAGAACCAGCAUUUAAACAAAAAGCACCAGAAAGACCAAACAAAAAGUGAAAACAGAAUACAUUCCAGACCAAAAUAUCCCUGGAAAAGACAGCAUGUGAGCUCCGAACGAUACGCCCUAUUACCUCGGAAGACACAUCCCACAUCCCACGUUUGUUCUGCUUUGCAUGUUACCCCCUCCGACCACAGGCUCUUUUGCUCUUGAGCUUGCAAGUGUUUCCUUGGUGAUGGAAGUUUGUUGCCAAAGCAGACGAAUGAAUCAUCUAUUUACAGUCAAAGCGGUGAGCUGCCGGGGGAUACCGUAUGUUUCGGCAUGUGGCGUGCAAGUCUAAGGCCAGCCGAUGGUGAAAGCCCUUCCUUCCUCGCGGCUCCUCGGCGUAUGCCACGUCUGCAUGAUGGCACCCAACCUGGCCGCUGAGCAGAGCGCUACCUCUGCCAGGACCGUCGUCUU